UACGUAGGGGGCAAGCGUUGUCCGGAAUUAUUGGGCGUAAAGCGCGUGUAGGCGGCUCGGUAAGUCUGCUGUGAAAGUCCAGGGCUCAACCCUGGAACGCCGGUGGAUACUGUCGAGCUCGAGUCCGGAAGAGGCGAGUGGAAUUCCUGGUGUAGCGGUGAAAUGCGCAGAUAUCAGGAGGAACACCAAUGGCGAAGGCAGCUCGCUGGGACGGUACUGACGCUGAGACGCGAAAGCGUGGGUAGCAAACAGG
rnacentral:rRNA from 1 species